GGCUUUUGGAUAUGUGAAAGCCAUAGGUGAAAACAUUUUUGUAAUAUGUAUAUGUAUGUACAUAUAUAGAAUAUUGUAUACAUAGACCAAGGUUAUUGUAUACAGAUGUGAUUGCUUUUCACAUGAUAACCCCAGGUCCUUACCAGUAGAGAUGUCAUUUUGCUUCAAGAGCUUGUCUUGGUUUAUUUACUGCUUUGGGUCCUUUGGCUAUACAAUCCUUCUGUUUUUACCUUUGGCUUUUGGUAGGCCUUUCAAACUGUGCCAUAACUUGGUUCACAUCAUCUUGACUUAACUUUAAUAUGUCUCAGAUCAAAUAUCUAAUUAUAUGCUUUUUUGCCUCCUAUGAUCUUGCACUGCUGGCCUCCUGUCAACACCAGAUUUUAAAUUGAAUUCCUUUGGCAGCUAUGCCCCUGAAAUUUAUAGAUUUUUGACCUGGACUUUGGCCAUGGAUUUUUCAACAUCUGGGUUUUAAUUAAGAUUUUAAUUCUAUUUGUUUUCCUAGUGACUUUCAAUUGUAAAUUUACUACUUUGGAACACACUGGGGAAAGGGAGACAUGAAGA
rnacentral:lncRNA from 1 species